rnacentral:rRNA from 1 species
UACAGAGGUCCCAAGCGUUUGUUCGGAUUCACUGGGCGUAAAGGGUGCGUAGGUGGUCAGGUAAGUCGGAUGUGAAAUCUCCGAGCUCAACUCGGAAACUGCAUUGGAAACUACCUGGCUCGAGGGUUGGAGGGGGGACUGGAAUGCUUGGUGUAGCAGUGAAAUGCGUAGAUAUCAAGCGGAACACCAGUGGCGAAGGCGAGUCCCUGGACAACUCCUGACGCUGAGGCACGAAGGUCAGGGGAGCAAACGGG